GGGAACAAGCAGCUGCUGCCUCUUCUUUGUUUUAUCUUCUCAGGUCAAAAUCACCACAUUUAUGAGUCAGGACUAAGCUGCUAUUGGUUAGAUGUGACAUCACUUUCCAAAUUCACUGUUCACACCAGCAAGCUGCUAUAGUCUACUGGUAAGUCUGACUUCCAUUCACUAAUGGUUUGGUAAUACUUAUAACAGACAUCCAUGAUUCGGCCAUUAUUGAACUUUUGUAGCGUGCGUUAAUUUACUCGAUAUGACAAUUAUACAAGUUUCAUUAUGUUUAACUUUUGCUAUUGGCAUAAACAUUUAAGACUAACAAAGAUGAAUAGAAAAAAAAAUCCCUUUUUGCUGGGCAAGAAAGUGGCUCUCUCAAAAUUGCAAGGAGCUAAAAGAGUUUCACGAAAAUGAAUGAGCCCGCAAGCAUUGACCAUACCAAUGAAUAUUUGUCUGUAACUAUCAGUAUAUUUCAGCAUGUCAGGUAACUUUUUUUUCUCGAAAAUAUGUCAGGUAAGGAUCAAAAAGAAAAAUGUAGGUUUUUUUUUCACAAAGUGGUUAUUACAGUCCCAUUAGGCCAUCACCAAGAAUAAAAUGUUUAUCCAUUUGCUUCCUUUUUUUUUAUUCGCUAGGAUUUUUUUUUUCUGAGAAUAUGUUAGUUUUGUGCUCUCUAAGAAAACAAACAACAAAUUGAUUCAUAUAUUUUGUUACUACAUGGUAAUCAUGUGUUGAGCUGUCACUUAUUAAAUUCCUGGUAUUUGCCUCUUGAAUCAUGGGCUCUCGAUAAUGUUGUGAAUCUUCGUGUUGUUUAUCGAAUUCUAACUACAGAAUAGUUACAAGAAGGGAAAAAAUGGGUUUGAAUUACAAAAUAGUAAAAAAAGAUAAUUCAUGAGAGACUGUGCAAAGUACAGUGCAACACUCAGCUUCUCUCUGCACUCUAAAGUAGAUCAUCAUGUGUUAUCUAAUUCUAUUUUAAUUGAGUUUUGUUGUCUGCAGCUCGGUGCCUAUGAUGUCCAGGCAGGAGACAACCUCUUGUAUAGUUGGUCUCAUUCCAGGAUUAUGAUUUACACACUGGCAUGCAACUUCAAGAACCUUCACCAUCUGUUUUUCAUAUCCUGUGCCUCGGAGUGUUGGAUCCAGGACC
rnacentral:lncRNA from 1 species